UUGCGGGCAGUAAUGAGGGUAGUGGCUGGCCGGCUCUGUGGGUCUGUGUCAACGUCAUUGGAUUUGGACAGUGGAGCCAGAUUAGGCCUCAUUGGCAACAAUCGAUGAUCAGGAACUGCAGUAGAUGUGGAAUAGCGUAGUUAGACAUUUUAACCAACCUGAUCUUGUUGGAAUACUGUUACUAAUAUCAAUGUAGAUCAUUAAGCUGAAUGAGAUCAAAAUUCAGAGAUAUAACUUAAUGGAACUUAACGUAACUAAAUGGCACUAACACGGUUAUACAGCCUAUAUAGUCAAAAUAACAACGCCAUGAAGCUUCAAAUGGUUUUUCAGUUCAACUAAUAGUAGAAAAAUCAAUCUCUCCAGCUGGGAAACUCGAUGAUUUCCCAUGAAAUGCCAAAGCAACGCAACCAUUAAUCCAAAUUCAGGAAGCAUCGGAUAUGUGAAACAAUCAAUUGUUGCGUUUUAUCAAUCAAACACGCAUAGAAUCAAACUUACACUAAAUUGAGAAUUUCCGGAGUCAACUUGACUAGCUGAUCUCUUCUUUUUUCACUUUCGUCGCUUCAAUUCCGUUCUCUGAGCUUAGAUUCGUUGCUUGGAAGACAAUCGCAGCACAAACAACGUACAACAAAUGACGGAAGAAAGAGUUUCGUCGUAGCGAUACUUCAGUAUCCACCCGACGAUUUGAUGCUCCUCGGCAUUUUUUCCAGCACCAAACUGACUGAGAAUGGAACUGGAAGCAAUUCAAUUUGGAAACUAGCAAAGGAAGACAAUGGAUCUUCGUCUGUGCUGACUCUGUUAGAAUGUGAAUCAAGAUUUCAUCAACCCUAACCGUACAGAGCUCGUCUGUGAGGCCAAAAUUGCUGAUGAUCGUGCUCCAUCUGUGGUUUUGUUUCAACCCAUUUUUACCAAACUACCCUUCAAAGCCUCCGAAACUAAAAACGGUAAAACCCUACGUAACCAGACUGACGAAAAGAGCUUCAAAGCGCGAACCAGAAAAAGGACGCACCUUUGCACCGAGCGAGAAAUGAGAAGGUGGGUCGCUAAGACUCUUCUUCAAUCGCGUUCCCUUCCAUUUC
rnacentral:lncRNA from 1 species